rnacentral:rRNA from 1 species
UACGUAGGGCGCAAGCGUUGUCCGGAAUUAUUGGGCGUAAAGAGCUCGUAGGCGGCUUGUCACGUCGGGUGUGAAAGCCCGGGGCUUAACCCCGGGUCUGCAUUCGAUACGGGCUAGCUAGAGUGUGGUAGGGGAGAUCGGAAUUCCUGGUGUAGCGGUGGAAUGCGCAGAUAUCAGGAGGAACACCAAUGGCGAAGGCGGCGUCCUGGACCGGCACUGACGCUGAGGAGCGAAAGCGUGGGGAGCGAUCCGG